GUGCUCGCUUGGCAGCACAUAUACAAAAUUGGAACGAUACAGAGAAGAUUAGCAAUGGCCCCUGCACAAGGAAUACAUGCAAAUUCGGGAAGCGUUCCAUAUUUUU
rnacentral:snRNA from 1 species